UGCUAUGAAAGUAGAUGAUAAUGAGUCUGAAAGCAAAAAGCAUGCGGAGCUUCUCGCACUUCCUCCCCAUGGGUCUGAAGUUUACGUGGGUGGCAUACCCCAUGAUGCAACUGAACAAGAUUUGAAGAGCUUUUGUGAGUCGGUUGGGGAGGUAGCUGAGGUUAGGGUAAUGAAGGGGAAGGAUUCUUCAGAGAACAAAGGCUAUGCUUUUGUUUCAUUCAGAACCAAAGAAUUGGCUGACAAGGCCAUUGAUGAGCUUAACAACGCUGAAUUCAAGGGAAAGAAGAUUAAGUGCUCUACAUCUCAAGCGAAGCAUCGGUUAUUCAUUGGUAAUGUUCCUCGAAAUUGGGCGGAGGAUGAUUUGAAGAAAAUUGUGGUUGAAAUCGGUCCUGGAGCUGAUAAAGUGGACUUGGUUAAGGAUCCGAACAAUUCUGGUCGUAACAGAGGGUUUGCAUUUGUUGAGUACUAUAACCAUGAAUGUGCUGAAUACUCGAGAAAGAAGAUGUCAGGCCCUAAAUUUAAGCUUGAUACUAAUACCCCGACAGUAAGCUGGGCUGAUCCUAAGAG
rnacentral:misc_RNA from 1 species